UACAGAGGUCCCAAGCGUUGUUCGGAUUCACUGGGCGUAAAGGGUGCGUAGGUGGUCGGGUAAGUCUGAUGUGAAAUCUCGCAGCUCAACUGCGAAACUGCAUUGGAUACUAUCCGGCUGGAGGAGUGGAGGGGGGACUGGAAUGCUCGGUGUAGCAGUGAAAUGCGUAGAUAUCGAGCGGAACACCAGUGGCGAAGGCGAGUCCCUAGACACUUCCUGACACUGAGGCACGAAAGCUAGGGGAGCAAACAGG
rnacentral:rRNA from 1 species